ACCUACGGGGGGCAGCAGUGAGGAAUAUUGGUCAAUGGGCGGAAGCCUGAACCAGCCAAGUCGCGUGAGGGAAUAAGGCCCUACGGGUCGUAAACCUCUUUUGCCGGGGAGCGAGGGCGGGGACGUGUCCCGGCCCGGAGAGUACCCGGAGAAAAAGCAUCGGCUAACUCCGUGCCAGCAGCCGCGGUAAUACGGAGGAUGCGAGCGUUAUCCGGAUUUAUUGGGUUUAAAGGGUGCGUAGGCGGGCUUUUAAGUCAGCGGUAAAAAUUCGGGGCUCAACCCCGUCCGGUCGUUGAGACUGGGGG
rnacentral:rRNA from 1 species